CAGAGCUGGAUCACGUGGAGGAGUCUCAAAUGCCCGGGUCCCGGCCUGUCUUCAGGAGCCCACGGUCUGAUGGGGAAGGCGGUCACUGUAAUCGUCAGAGAGAAGACACCUGAAGGGUUGUGAAGCUGCUGUGGGUGACAGUGACAGGCGUCUUAGAUCUGGCUGCGAGCCUGGGGAAUCAUUCAUGGAAGUGGUGGCAUUUCAUUCCUUCAGUGUCUCCUGAGAGCCACUCGUGGCCUAAGCACUGGGCCUGCUGUGGGGUGCCACGGGAGCAGAUGGCGGCUUCACGGAGAAGCUGGGGCCAGACUCCAUGUUAAUCCCAUGGAUGGCUUAAGGAGCUUCCCCCCACCAACCAUGCGUGGUGCCUCUCUGUAAAGAAAAAAUGCAUUGUUUGUGAAGUGGAUCAAGAUGCGGCCUCCCAGAACGCUGCCCUUUUGAGGAAUGGCUUGUCUUAGAAGGGAAGAGAAAAGCCAAAUAGAAUGUUCAUCUUUUGUAAAGUUUAAAAAAAAAAAAAAAAGCCAGCCUCCAAGGCUGAGAAUCGAUAUUAAUUUCAUGGGCUUAUGGGCAGUGAGAUAAAGCAGGUUUCUGGCAGCCCUUUCCAGCCCUAUUGGAUUUUACAAUCUUGAACUGUGAAGACAGCGAAUAAAGGUAUCAAGGGCUCUGCCCGUCUCCAGCUGUCUCGGGCCAGAGCUCAUCCAAAUCCCCCACCCUCCAUCCCAGCCUGCAGCCCUCUGAAAGGCAGGUUGGAUGGCAAGAAAUGUCAGCUUGAGCCCUCAAAGACGGCUCACUACAAGGACAGUUGGGAUUGUGGCUUUAGGAGGGAUUUACGCAGCUCCUCCGGGGCAGGUGAGGACCACAGGGUCAUGCUAGAGAGUCAGCUCAACGUGGCUGCCUGGGACACGUCUAUGUGCCAGAGGGCAGCCAAGGGGAUGACUGACUCUACAUCUGGUUUUAGACCAGGGCUGCUCGUCCGGGCACCAUUGAGGUAGGGCAAGAAUGGGCUCAGCGUGCUGGGGACCAUCCUCCUCUGCAACCCUGCCCUCCCUGCAUUUACCGA
rnacentral:lncRNA from 1 species